rnacentral:rRNA from 1 species
CGGCAACAGCUCAAAUUUGAAAUCUGGCUCUUUCAGGGUCCGAGUUGUAAUUUGUAGAAGAUGCUUUGGGUGUAGCUCCGGUCUAAGUUCCUUGGAACAGGACGUCAUAGAGGGUGAGAAUCCCGUACGUGACUGGGUGCUUUCGCUCGUGUAAAGCUCUUUCGAC